GACGAACGCUGGCGGCGUGCUUAACACAUGCAAGUCGAACGGAGUGGCGAACGGGUGAGUAACACGUGAGCAAUCUGCCCUUGACUCUGGGAUAAGCGUUGGAAACGACGUCUAAUACCGGAUAGUCAAGGAUGAGCUCGCGACCUAUCAGCUAGUUGGUGAGGUAAUGGCUCACCAAGGCGACGACGGGUAGCCGGCCUGAGAGGGUGACCGGCCACACUGGGACUGAGACACGGCCCAGACUCCUACGGGAGGCAGCAGUGGGGAAUAUUGCACAAUGGGCGAAAGCCUGAUGCAGCAACGCCGCGUGAGGGACGACGGCCUUCGGGUUGUAAACCUCUUUUAGUAGGGAAGCGGUACCUGCAGAAAAAGCACCGGCUAACUACGUGCCAGCAGCCGCGGUAAUACGUAGGGUGCAAGCGUUGUCCGGAAUUAUUGGGCGUAAAGAGCUCGUAGGCGGUUUGUCGCGUCUGCUGUGAAAACCCGAGGCUCAACCUCGGGCCUGCAGUGGGUACGGGCAGACUAGAGUGCGGUAGGGGAGAUUGGAAUUCCUGGUGUAGCGGUGGAAUGCGCAGAUAUCAGGAGGAACACCAAUGGCGAAGGCAGAUCUCUGGGCCGUAACUGACGCUGAGGAGCGAAAGCAUGGGGAGCGAACAGGAUUAGAUACCCUGGUAGUCCAUGCCGUAAACGUUGGGAACUAGAUGUGGGGCCGUGUCGCAGCUAACGCAUUAAGUUCCCCGCCUGGGGAGUACGGCCGCAAGGCUAAAACUCAAAGGAAUUGACGGGGGCCCGCACAAGCGGCGGAGCAUGCGGAUUAAUUCGAUGCAACGCGAAGAACCUUACCAAGGCUUGACAUACAGGUGGUGCAUGGUUGUCGUCAGCUCGUGUCGUGAGAUGUUGGGUUAAGUCCCGCAACGAGCGCAACCCUCGUCCUAUGUUGCAACUCAUGGGAUACUGCCGGGGUCAACUCGGAGGAAGGUGGGGAUGACGUCAAAUCAUCAUGCCCCUUAUGUCUUGGGCUUCACGCAUGCUACAAUGGCCGGUACAAAGGGCUGCAAUACCGCAAGGUGGAGCGAAUCCCAAAAAGCCGGUCUCAGUUCGGAUUGAGGUCUGCAACUCGACCUCAUGAAGUCGGAGUCGCUAGUAAUCGCAGAUCAGCACGCUGCGGUGAAUACGUUCCCGGGCCUUGUACACACCGCCCGUC
rnacentral:rRNA from 1 species